AAGAGAACACAAUCUAUCAGAAAUAGGGUUGGGUACCAAAACGUGGUGCCGAUAGGGCACCGGUUCCGACGUAAAC